rnacentral:lncRNA from 1 species
GAAGCAUAGAACUAAAGAAACAUAGAAAAUCAAAGGUGUCUGGAAAAAUAAAAGAAAAAUCCAUGUUAUAUUGAAUUCUGAUUCUGAUUUUGUCAUUCAAAAAAAGAGGAAAUUCUGGUUCAUUUAGAGAAUUUGGGAUGGUUUGAUUUUGAAUUUGAAAGAGUUUUGAGUUGAGCUUUGUGGAAGUUCACUGUUUCAUUGAUCUGGGGUUGAAUUUGUUUGGUUUUGGGUCUUGAGUCUGGGCUACUUAGCUGUUGAGUUUUGAAGUGGUUUCUGGUCUAUUUGCAUCAUUUUCUGGGUGGAGAAACUGGUUGUUUAUUGUUGAUGCUGUGCUGUUAGCUGUUGAUUCCUCAUUCUUUUUUCAUUCCAUUUCCAGGUAUUCCUAACCACACUUGGUCAUCAUCUAAAUGUAAUGAAGUUGGAGAUUGAAGUAUGAAAUAAUGUAUAAAGUAGUCAAUAGUCAGUUAUAUUUGCUUUAUUCAUUUACUUAUGUUGUAAUAUUUAAAUUCAGAAGUGC